UAAAAGUUUUAUUCUUGCUUGUUUUAUUUACUCUAUGUUUAUUUUACAUGCGUAGACUUAUAUUUAUUUCAUUCUAAAAGAAGAUAUUUAUAGUUGCAGUAAUACAUAUUAUUUUUUAAUUUUUGUUAGAGAUAGUAAUACAUAUAUUUCUGGUUAAAUUCGUGCCAGCCGCCGCGGUUAUACGAGAGGAGAAAGUAAAUAUUAUUAGCUAAUUUGCAGUUAAAAAUUUUUUUUAUUAGUUUAAUUAUUUAUAGGUGAAAUUUUAAAUUUUUUUAUAAAUAUAUUUUUUGAAGCUGUGAAAUUCAUAUUAAAAACAAGGAUUAGAUACCCUUUUAUUUUGAAUGUAAAUUUUGGCUUGGGUAGUAGUAGUUAUGUUCUUGAAACCCAAAGAAUUUGGCGGUACUUUAGUCCUUUCAGAGGAACCUGUCCCGUAAUCGAUAAUCCACGAGAAGGAACUACUUGUUUUUGUUUUCAGUUUGUAUACCUCCGUCAUCAGAGAAUCUUUUUAGAGUUAAUAAUUUUCUUGAGAUAGUGAAUGUAGGAUGUCAGGUCAAGGUGCAGCUUAUGAACAAGUGGAGAUGGGUUACAAUAAUAAUAUUUAGACGGAAUAGAUGAUUUAUUAUUCUAUGAAGGUGGAUUUGAUAGUAAUAUUAAUUUUUUAUUAGUAUGAUUGUAGGCUCUAAAGUAUGUACACAUCGCCCGUCGCUCUCAUUAUUAAAAUGAGAUAAGUCGUAACAUAGUAGGCGUAUCGGAAGAUGUGCCUAGUUAGUA
rnacentral:ncRNA from 1 species